UACGGAGGGAGCUAGCGUUGUUCGGAAUCACUGGGCGUAAAGCGCACGUAGGCGGCUACUCAAGUCAGAGGUGAAAGCCCGGGGCUCAACCCCGGAAUUGCCUUUGAAACUAGGUGGCUAGAAUCUUGGAGAGGCGAGUGGAAUUCCGAGUGUAGAGGUGAAAUUCGUAGAUAUUCGGAAGAACACCAGUGGCGAAGGCGACUCGCUGGACAAGUAUUGACGCUGAGGUGCGAAAGCGUGGGAAGCAAACAGG
rnacentral:rRNA from 1 species